GACCUUUCCAAUGGUACCAAUUUCACCAUUUUCCAGUGAGUGAGAUUUCCUAUAGGUCUCGUGGAAGUUGACCUACAAAACUUGGCAGAUUCUGAUUUCGCUUUUGAUGUGUCUUUCUUAUGUAGGGAUAGAAUAAGUCUCAACCUUUCAUACCAUUAAGUAUUGAAAAAGGAGUUACUGCCAUUACAUUGGCGUUGCGUGGGCGCAUAGCUACACUUAGCUUUACAACUUUUCAUAGCGAAUGAGAUGUCAAGUCUUUUGUAUUGUGUUGAGUACAUUGAUGCGUCUUUUUGACUUAGAUGGGAACUCCAUCUCUUAACACAUAUUUGUCAUCUUGCUUUAGACAAAACACGGAUCUCUCUUUAGAGCAAAGACCUUGACUAAUCAUGGGAGUAUAUGUAGGCCUCACUAGUUAUAGAGCGCCUAAGCCGAUUGAUCAUCAAUACAGUCAUCGAGUGCCUUAUCGAGACUGUGUCUUCCCAAGAUCUUUUUCUUCGGAUGUUGAUACAUAUUGGCAUCUCUUGAUCCAUCAAGAGUCCAUGUAAAUCCGGAAUGAACACGCAAAGGCAUAAUUCACCAUAUCCCUUCCAAAUCAAGUAGAAUCCAUGUGCGUUUCAAUAGCUUUAGCAAACGCGUGCUACUGUGGUCUGGAGCCACUUGAUUCGGAUGAAUGAAGUCCGUUUAAGACCUUCAUGUAUAUCUCUGAUCCCGUAGAGAUGUUAUUAUGACCACAUUCAUAGGCUGCAUGUUCAGUUAGUCGAAAACUACCAAACUGACAAAGUAGUGGAGUUCAAUGACAUCCAUUACGAGAGCAUAUCUCAUCGUAGUCGAUCCCAGUGCGUGUUAGUGAAAGACCUUGCGCUAUAAGGUGAGUCUAAGCUCUUACUCUCACUACGCUAUCUAACAAAGACAUAGUUGAUAGGGUUUAGCUUGCGGUGUCGGCAUCACCUGCCUAAGGACCUAUCUCUUUGUUAAUGCUGGAUCGCAUCUUUCCAUUAGGCCAAUCAACUAAGUUGAUAUCCAUCAACGAAGGGUGGUUCGAUAGUAUACUCAUUAUCUCACGUCCUCAUGUACACUAAUGUAAUACUUGUAGAGAUCUCUAUAUGGAUUGGAUUUGACAUUGAGGCGUCCCCCAACGAUAAUCACAAUUCAGACUUCAUGAGACGGAUUUGAGUAUCACUGAUCAAUGGAUCAGGUUGUGCCAAUCUCGCUUUCUUCCUAGUGCGAGAAUAUAUCGAACCUAAGGGCCUCCCUCCUUUUAGGGAGCCACACGGCCUUGUGACACCAAUUUUGCCACUAUAUGGUGUCACCAUAUCACCAUCCAUGGUGAUGGCGCCAAGACCAACUUCUUUUGGUCGCGCCAUGUCCUUUUGUAGGACAUCAAUCCUUGCAGACAUAUUUACAGCAUGUGAUCUCGUCACUUUAACACUAUAAGCAUUUGGGAUCAAGAUGAGACUUAGUGGGGACAAACCACGACAAUUCACGUCGUUCCACUUGAACACUUGUGUUCUUAUCUCCCCCUAACGGCGGGAAUAUUGUCUCAUCAAAGUGACAAUCCG
rnacentral:lncRNA from 1 species